CCGGGAAGUAAGCUUUCUAGGAGUCGAUACGUUCUCUAAGGGGUGAGAGCAGGCGCCCACCAACCGCUUUCUUGGUGGCUCUCAGACUUGGGGAUUGAUCUCCCUCCUGGCUGGGCAGACGACCGGGGGAGGGGAACUUGGAGAAACAGAAAUAAGACAGAGAAAAAGCUCCAGUAGUUGUACAGGUGCAAAAGCCCCUGCCGGGUGGAGAGACCAGUCACGUAAGUUAUACGCGUAUAGCCUGAGCAUGUGAGUGUUUGGGAGGGGAGACCCAGACAGGUGAGCACUCAGGUGACUGAGGGAAGGAAGCGAUCCCUCUGAGAGGACCUAAGGUGAGGUCCCGAGGGCCUAGGAUAGGUCCUGAAUAAAUUACCCGAGAGGGCCUAGAGUUAGGUCCUGAAAAAUUCGUAGGUCCUUGACCUGAGAGAAUCUGGCGACAGAUUUUCAGAUAAAUUUUAACAUGGGUAAUGAGUGAAAUCCUGUACCACGGAGCAGAAGGAAGGUAUACCAAGAAAAUAGUCCUUUAGGAAAUAAACUUUAGAAUUGGAAUGAACCACCAAAAUAUAAAGGGAAAGAUAAAAGAAAAUAGAUAUGAUUUAAGGAUUUUAUAGCAAUUUGUUAUAUGUCUAAUUUCUGUGUUUGUGUCUUUGUGUGUGUGGUAUGAUUGAGCGUCUGUGUGUGUAAUCUGAACCUUUGCAGUCAGGCAGCCACUUUGUUUCUCCCCCCUUCCUCCCUGGUAACAGCAGCCUUAAAGGAGUGGGUGGACGAGAGAGAGAAAGAAAAAUACUUUACAAAUUGAGCAGAAACCAGAACACAAAGGUCCUAUAAAUUCAGAUCCUUCCUUUGCGGCUUCUAUUUCUUCCUGGUCACUCGCAUCUCGCUUGUUCCUCUGACCCACGCAGCCCUUGUAGCACCUGGAGGAGUGGUCAUCUGCUUUGCACACCAAAACCUUACACUGCAGGUAAACCACAUUGUAGUUGUCGAGAAAGCUGAAGGCGUUGAAUUUGAACUGUGCCACGUUCUUCUGGUGAGAGUUGAGGUUUGCAUAGGAAUUGUCCUUAAUGCAUCUAUGGAAAAGAAAACCCCCAUCUCAUUAAGUACUACAAUUAUUGAUUGUUAUAUUCUAUAU
rnacentral:lncRNA from 1 species